rnacentral:rRNA from 1 species
GAUGAACGCUGGCGGCGUGCCUAAUACAUGCAAGUCGAGCGAACAGACGAGGAGCUUGCUCCUCUGACGUUAGCGGCGGACGGGUGAGUAACACGUGGAUAACCUACCUAUAAGACUGGGAUAACUUCGGGAAACCGGAGCUAAUACCGGAUAACAUGUUGAACCGCAUGGUUCAACAGUGAAAGACGGUCUUGCUGUCACUUAUAGAUGGAUCCGCGCCGCAUUAGCUAGUUGGUAAGGUAACGGCUUACCAAGGCAACGAUGCGUAGCCGACCUGAGAGGGUGAUCGGCCACACUGGAACUGAGACACGGUCCAGAAUCCUACGGGAGGCAGCAGUAGGGAAUCUUCCGCAAUGGGCGAAAGCCUGACGGAGCAACGCCGCGUGAGUGAAGAAGGUCUUCGGAUCGUAAAACUCUGUUAUUAGGGAAGAACAAAUGUGUAAGUAACUAUGCACGUCUUGACGGUACCUAAUCAGAAAGCCACGGCUAACUACGUG